UACGUAGGAGGCAAGCGUUGUCCGGAAUUACUGGGCGUAAAGCGCGUGUAGGUGGUGGGACAAGUCUGCUGUGAAAGCGCCUGGCUUAACCGGGCGAGGUCGGCGGAAACUGUCCGACUCGAGGACGGUAGAGGGGGGUGGAAUUCCCGGUGUAGUGGUGAAAUGCGUAGAGAUCGGGAGGAACACCUGUGGCGAAGGCGGCCCCCUGGGCCGGCCCUGACACUGAGAGACGAAAGCUAGGGGAGCAAAUGGG
rnacentral:rRNA from 1 species